CCCUUAGAUGUUCUGGGCCACACGCGCGCUACACUGAUACGUUCAGCGAGUAUAUAACCUUGAUUGGAAAAUCUGGGUAAUCUUUUGAAUGCGUAUCGUGCUAGGGAUAGAUUAUUGCAAUUAUUAAUCUUGAACGAGGAAUUCCUAGUAAACGCAAGUCAUCAGCUUGCAUUGAUUACGUCCCUGCCCUUUGUACACACCGCCUGUCGCACAAACCGAUUGAAUGAUUCGGUGAAAGUUUUGGACAUCGAGAGUGGUGAUUAAUUUCGCUGCUCUUAAAUGGAAAGAAUUUAAACCUAAUUAUUUAGAGGAUUGUGAAGUCAUAACA
rnacentral:rRNA from 1 species